GGGGCGCCCUCUGAGCGUUCGCGCUGUGAUGAAUU
rnacentral:misc_RNA from 1 species